GGUCCUACGGGAGGCAGCAGUGGGGAAUAUUGCACAAUGGGGGAAACCCUGAUGCAGCGACGCCGCGUGAAGGAAGAAGUAUUUCGGUAUGUAAACUUCUAUCAGCAGGGAAGAGAAUGACGGUACCUGACUAAGAAGCCCCGGCUAACUACGUGCCAGCAGCCGCGGUAAUACGUAGGGAGCGAGCGUUGUCCGGAUUUACUGGGUGUAAAGGGUGCGUAGGCGGCUUGGCAAGUCAGUAGUGAAAUCCAUGGGCUUAACCCAUGAACUGCUAUUGAAACUGUCGAGCUUGAGUGAAGUAGAGG
rnacentral:rRNA from 1 species